rnacentral:rRNA from 1 species
AUUGAACGCUGGCGGAAUGCUUUACACAUGCAAGUCGAGCGGCAGCGCGGGGGCAACCCUGGCGGCGAGCGGCGAACGGGUGAGUAAUACAUCGGAACGUGUCCUUAAGUGGGGGAUAGCUCGGCGAAAGCCGGAUUAAUACCGCAUAAGCUCUGAGGAGGAAAGCGGGGGCUCCGUAAGGACCUCGCGCUGUUGGAGCGGCCGAUGUCGGAUUAGCUAGCUGGUGGGGUAAAGGCCCACCAAGGCGACGAUCCGUAGCUGGUCUGAGAGGAUGAUCAGCCACACUGGAACUGAGACACGGUCCAGACUCCUACGGGAGGCAGCAGUGGGGAAUUUUGGACAAUGGGGGCAACCCUGAUCCAGCCAUUCCGCGUGAGUGAAGAAGGCC